AACGAACGCUGGCGGCAGGCCUAACACAUGCAAGUCGAACGCCGUAGCAAUACGGAGUGGCAGACGGGUGAGUAACGCGUGGGAACAUACCCCUCGGUUCGGAAUAACUCAGGGAAACUUGAGCUAAUACCGGAUACGUCCGAGGUUUUAAUCGGCCUUGGAGAAAGAUUUAUCGCCGGAGGAUUGGCCCGCGUCUGAUUAGCUUGUUGGUGAGGUAAUGGCUCACCAAGGCGACGAUCAGUAGCUGGUCUGAGA
rnacentral:rRNA from 1 species